CCCAGACUCCUACGGGAGGCAGCAGUGGGGAAUAUUGGGCAAUGGGCGCAAGCCUGACCCAGCAACGCCGCGUGAAGGAAGAAGGCUUUCGGGUUGUAAACUUCUUUUAUUGAGGACGAAACAAAUGACGGUACUCAAUGAAUAAGCCACGGCUAACUCCGUGCCAGCAGCCGCGGUAAUACGGAGGAUCCGAGCGUUAUCCGGAUUCAUUGGGUUUAAAGGGUGCGUAGGUUGUUUUAUAAGUUAGCGGUGAAAUACCGAUGCUCAACAUCGGGGCUGCCGCUAAUACUGUAGGACUAGAGAUCGGAUGCAGCAGGCGGAAUGUGUAGUGUAGCGGUGAAAUGCAUAGAUAUUACACGGAACACCGAUUGCGAAGGCAGCUUGCUAGGCCGGAUCUGACACUGAUGCACGAAAGCGUGGGGAUCGAACAGGAUUAGAUACCCUUGUAGA
rnacentral:rRNA from 1 species